AUUGAACGCUGGCGGCAGGCCUAACACAUGCAAGUCGAACGAGCGGCGGACGGGUGAGUAAUGUCUGGGCAACUGCCUGAUGGAGGGGGAUAACUACUGGAAACGGUAGCUAAUACCGCAUACCAUCAGAUGUUCCCAGCUGGGAUUAGCUAGUUGGUGGGGUAAAGGCUCACCUAGGCGACGAUCGCUAGCUGGUCUGAGAGGAUGACCAGCAAAACGGGAACUGAGACACGGCCCAGACUCCUACGGGAGGAAGAAGGGGGGAAUAUUGAACAAUGGGCGCAAGCCUGAUGCAGCCAUGCCGCGUGUAUGAAGAAGGCCUGAGGGUUGUAAAGCACUUUCAGCGGGGAGGCGUUACUCGCAGAAGAAGCACCGGCUAACUCCGUGCCAGCAGCCGCGGUAAUAC
rnacentral:rRNA from 1 species